AACGAACGCUGGCGGCAGGCCUAACACAUGCAAGUCGAGCGGACCCUUCGGGGUUAGCGGCGGACGGGUGAGUAACGCGUGGGAAUAUGCCCUUCUCUACGGAAUAGUCCUGGGAAACUGGGGGUAAUACCGUAUACGCCCUUUGGGGGAAAGAUUUAUCGGGGAAGGAUUAGCCCGCGUUGGAUUAGGUAGUUGGUGGGGUAAUGGCCUACCAAGCCGACGAUCCAUAGCUGGUUUGAGAGGAUGAUCAGCCACACUGGGACUGAGACACGGCCCAGACUCCUACGGGAGGCAGCAGUGGGGAAUCUUAGACAAUGGGGGCAACCCUGAUCUAGCCAUGCCGCGUGAGUGAUGAAGGCCUUAGGGUUGUAAAGCUCUUUCAGCUGGUAAGAUAAUGACGGUACCAGCAGAAGAAGCCCCGGCUAACUCCGUG
rnacentral:rRNA from 1 species